GGGAGCAUCAUUCCACAGGAUCCCAACCCAGGGUCCUGAGAGUGUGUGUGUGUGUGUGUGUGUGUGUGUGUGUGUGUGUGUGUUUGGGAGAAAGCAGCCCACUGCCUGGGUGGUGCUUCUGCUGACCCCUCCCUUGCUGCUGGCUAAUGCUCCCUUGCACAUACCUAUACAGAGGCUGUGAGUCUCGAGGAGCCAGCACCAAGUGGCCUGCAGAACUCCUGCAGGAGUCACUGCUAUAAAGGCAUCAGCCAGCCAUACUACUAGUUCUCACAGUACAGGACAUGAAGCCCUGAAUGUGGGUCAGGUGCCAGCCUAACGGCGUGACCGGCAGAACCUCAGCACAUGCCACACUCCUUAAAGUGGGUAGCAAUGGCUAAGGCCUACAGUGAGCACAGGGUGGCUCCCAACUGUCACAGAUGUUCAGUUGCCAGAUCUCCCUGCCAGACAGUUGAGAACCAAAGGUGGAGAAGCCCUGGCCUGUGUGGGCCAGUGGUCUUGCCCCCCACCAAGGGGAGGGCUGUGCUGGGUCCCUGCUUUAGCGCUAUGUGGGUGAGAGGUCCUCCCCUGAGCCCCAGCUCCAUCCAGAGCAGUAGCUUGCUGCCCUGGCAUUUAACUCUAGGAAGCCUCACAGCUUGUCUGGGCCCCAGCGUCUCUGGGCUUGGCACUGGGCCAAAGCUAGAAGGUAACCAGGGGAGUAGUGAGGGGGGCACUGGCCAGAGUGGACAUGAACUACAGUGGGAAGUCUCCAGGGAAUGGCUGGGUGCAUGCAUCCUGCUUUAACCUCAGAUAUGACUCAAUUCCCUCCAGGAGCUCUGGAGCCUGUGGACAGUGCUGUGACAAUGCAGCACUGGAGAGUCCAGGCUCCCCAGAACCCCAAACUCCCCACCCCACUGGGCUGGCCUCUUACCAUGUCCACAGCCACUUUCAUGGCCUCCUGUAGCCCAAAGAGCUUCCCGGCCACCAGGUAGACCCCCGCCGGUCCACACUGCACAGGCCUCGUGUACCCAGUGCUCCUGGGUGUCCCCAACAGGCUCUGAGGGGGCCUCCUUGCUGCACUCAUGCUUGCGGCUCUUGUCGACUGGUGCCAUCUCAGUCACCCCGUCACCCCGGCCAUCACAACAGUAGCAACUCUGCAGCCGCCGGGACAGGCCACGGGCACUGGUGCGCAGUGAGCCCUGCUUGGCUGGGUCAGCUGGGGCAUCAAGUCUGGGGGGGUUUUCCGGAACCAGUGGCGGCAGCAGCAGGGGUGGCAGCCACACACUCAAGGCCCUUGAGUGUUCUCUCGAGGAGCAACGGGGCCUCCUCACAGGUGCCUUCUGGACGCACCUUCUCCUUGAGUUUUGGCUUCUUUUUGGGGAGGCAGUGUUCAGGGUAGUAGGGUCCACAGGGUCUCCGAGGUCCUUGAAGUUGGCUGGGUUUUGGCAGAGGCAGCAGGCGAGGCAAGAGGUACUCAGGGCCUUGGAAACCACAGGCCCCAGGUGCAUCAUAGAGGAGAGAGGCAGGGAGGGCCGUGACUGCAGGAUGGAACCUCCAGGGAGUGUGGUCAGGGAAGCCCCAGCCACAUCCAAGAAGAAGGAGGAUGAAGAUGAGGAAGAGGAGGUGGAGGAUGAAGGCUUCCUGUGGGGCUUGGGCUCAUCCCCCCGGGAGUUAACAACAGUGCAUACAGUGGUGAAUGCAUCUCGCUUCUCCACCCGCACAAAGGGCGAGAAGGCAGGGGUCCGGCUGUCUGCCCUCAGUCGCUUGCAAGAGGAAAUGUACUUGAGGCGGAUUUCAGGCUCUGCAGGAUCCAGGGGGAGCACCUGCUGCUGCCGCCUCCGCUGGCACGCCCCUUACAGGGUGAAGUAUUGGUGUUUUUGGCCCGGCCCAGGUGAGGCGCUUCCGCUUGGAAUAGCUGCUGUAGUUGGCAUGGCCUGGCUGCUUCUGUGCCCUUGUCUGGGGCUGGCAGGACCGGCCCUCAGAGGGCUGGGAAGCCAGGCCCAGCUCCUCUGUCUUUGGCUUCUUGCCUCCACCAGAGUUGUCCUCGCCAGCCCCUGUGUGCUGCUGGCCCUGUCUCUGGGACUGAGGAGCAGAGUUGGACCAAGGUAGGGCCGCUUCUCCAGGGGGCCUUUGGGGGAGUCCGAGGCCUCCAGCCCUGCCUUUCCGGCUCCUCUUCUUAGGCGCCAGGGCAGUUGCCCCAGGCUGUAGGGCCUCCGGGGAGGUGAAGGCCUCAGUUUUGAAACAGUCAGCAGAGGACAGUUUCUUACUGUUCACAGGAUUUGCCUUUUAAGGACCUGCUGGCUGGAUUUCUGCAUAAUGGGUCAGCUCCCAAAGCUGCUGGGAGCUUCUGCCCAGUACCCAUGCUUAUCAGACCUUCUUCUGCCCUUGCUGGGCUGCCCCCAGCACUCUUGAGGCCACCUCGAUCCUUCUCAGGGAGGGCUGGGCUCAGAGGUGUCCCUGGAGGGGCCCCUGGCACUUUGCAUGUGAACUUCUUGAGGCCAGGUGAGGUGAUCUUCUGCACGAUGGCCUCCAGCUUGAGGCCCGACCCUUCGGGGUGGGAGCACCUUGGUCUUCAUGGCCCCCUGGAAGGGCUGCCCGUGAGGUGAGCUUGAUGCAGGUAUCGGGGGCUCUCGGGGGGUGAGGGUUUCAUGGUGGGCUCGCUGUUGCCCUUGGGCUUGGUCUUUUUGGGAGAAGACACCCUCCUGAAGAGGGCAGAGGAGCCCUCGGCCCCCUCCUCCUUCCCAUCUCCCCCAUUGCUACUGGUGGUGGUAGUGCUGCUGCUACUCCGUAAAACCAGGUUCCGCUUCUUGGUGGGGACUGGUGCCAUGAAGGCAGACUUCCUUUUUGAGUGUGUGGAGAGGCUGAUCAGAAAGCUUGCCCCCAGUGCAGGGCUUGGGGACCCUUGCUCGCUGGCUCACCCCUGCCCUCCUUCUGGGGGCUACUGGAGACCUUGAACGUGGUGGGCAGGUGGCUGUUGGCAAGGAGCUUCUUGGUGGUGCGGCAGUUUGGGAGCCGACUCUCUGCAGGCCGCCGCCGCGCUGGAGUAGAAAACCUCCAGGGGCUUCGUGCGGGACCGGAGGAUCAUGGAGCGCUGGUCCUUGCUAGGAGUACUGGGCGAGUCUGUCUCCUUGGUUUUGGAGCCCAUAGGGCUGCUGUCUGAGGGCCACCGGCAGGGCAGCUGGGUUGCUGGGGCUGGAUGCGGCCUUGGGUGAAGGUUUCCCUACCCUCUUGCCUGACUUGAAGGCAGCUCGCUGCUUGCCCCCCAGUUUGUCAGGGUGUGCAGGCGUAGUGGUCAGGCCUGGGGGUCCAGGUGUACGGGGUUCACUCAGGGCUGUGAGGGAGCGUGUACACAUCCUGGGGAUCCCUUCUGAGGUGCCCCGGCCUGGGGCCCCAGCUCCUUCCAGCUGUCCUUGGGGAGGCCCUGUGCAGGAUUCAGGGAGCAAAAGGUCUUUGGGCAGCACUGCGCCUCCCCGGCCCGCAGCCCCCGCCCCUGCGAGGGCAUCGCACGGCUAAAUCUCAGCCUGGAAAGGACCGAUUAGGAGCCGCGUGCCUUUCAGCGAAAUAUUGGAACCGGGUGGGAUGGGGGCGGGGAGCCCGGCGCUCUCAUCC
rnacentral:lncRNA from 1 species